UACAGAGGUCCCGAGCGUUGUUCGGAUUCAUUGGGCGUAAAGGGUGCGUAGGCGGCGGGGAAAGUCUGAUGUGAAAUCCUGGGGCUCAACCCUGGAACUGCAUUGGAUACUUCCUUGCUAGAGUACUGGAGAGGAAACUGGAAUUUACGGUGUAGCAGUGAAAUGCGUAGAGAUCGUAAGGAAGACCAGUGGCGAAGGCGAGUUUCUGGACAGUUACUGACGCUGAGGCAUGAAGGCCAGGGGAGCAAACGGG
rnacentral:rRNA from 1 species